GCUGAGACGCCGGUGAGGUUGCGUAUCUCUAGUUGGAGCGACUGUCUUUUCUCCGGAGGGUUGGUUUUGUUUCCUACUUCAGCCUAUUUCUCGGACCCGCGCCUUUUUGAGAGAUUCCCUUCCUCCUUUGCCCCCUUUUCGGGCCACAUCAGGCGGGAGGCUUCCAGAAAGUCGACAAGUCAUCCUUAGGUGCAAAGGAGUCAGACUUCAGGAAGACCAACUCAAAUAUUUGGCAUUUAAAGGAAUUUCAAGUUUUUAAAAGAAAGGUCUUUGAAUUCUGCAGGGGACAUUUGGGAAAACUUUCCACCUAUGAAUUUUCCUUGUUCCAUUGGUCCAGCUUGCAGAAUUUGCCUGCUUGGGCUUGGGAGAAGGCAAGGAGAGGCCAGAGUGUUGGGAACGUCCAGGGUUAUGAGUGCUGAAGACAAUUCAGCAUUUCUCCAACUGUUCUUUCUCAAAACAUUCUACUGACAGAUGUUAACAGGAUGAAAACGUCCUUGGUCAAAGAAGUUUGGGAGAACUGCUAUAUACUCUAAUCCCUUCUUAAUAUGCACAUAAACAUAUUUGAAGUUCUGAGGGUCUCACAUUUGAAAACCCAGUUAAAUUUAGUAUAGUCAACUUUUUUAAGCUUAUUUGCAUCUAGAAUGGCCUGUGUGUGUAUGUGUGUGUGUGUGUGUGUGUGUGUGUUUGUUGCAUCUGCUAAGGUCUCAUAGUUUGGUUUAUGAUGGAUCAGAUAAUCAUUCACCUUACCACUACAUAAAAUAAUAGGAGCCUUUAUUUCUUUUCAUUCAACAUGUUUAAAUUAUCUGCAGUUAGCCAUUUAAGUCCACAUUGAUUUAGGGUAGAGCAAUGGCUAACUUUUUCUGAAAUGUACCUCAUUCUUUAUGAACCUAUUUUAUGUUCCUAUUCCAUUUGUUAUCAACUCUUGUCAUAAACUUAAAAAACAAACAAACCAUAAACUAGCUUCCUUAUUGUUCAU